rnacentral:rRNA from 1 species
UACGGAGGAUCCAAGCGUUAUCCGGAUUUAUUGGGUUUAAAGGGUGCGUAGGCGGCCUGUUAAGUCAGGGGGGAAAGACGGUAGCUCAACUAUCGCAGUGCCCUUGAUACUGAUGGGCUUGAAUUGACUAGAGGUAGGCGGAAUGUGACAAGUAGCGGUGAAAUGCAUAGAUAUGUCACAGAACACCGAUUGCGAAGGCAGCUUACUAUGGUCUUAUUGACGCUGAGGCGCGAAAGCGUGGGGAUCAAACAGG